AAUUAAUAUAUUUAUAAUAUAUCUUCAUAUAAUUAUUGAUUGUAGGAAUACUUGAAAAAAUAAAGCUACUUCAGCUUUGGGAGAAUUAUCAAGAGGAGGCAAAUAUGGUUGCAGAUAAGAAAGUUAAAAAUCAGGUCAAACAGUUCUCUAUAUAUAGUCUUGGAUGGAAGGUCUCUAUUAAAGUUGAGAAAAAACAAUUGGGAAAAUUAAUUGUGCGAGAGCUUUUGAGGCAACGACAACUUCGAAAUCAUAUCAUAUCUAAUAGAGCAAGUAUAUGCAGCGAAGACAAUAUGGACAUAUAUGUGGUAAAAAAUCAUGUCGUAUGAACUUUACUGCUGUGCUGCAUAUAUUCAUAUUUGUGAAUUUACAAAUUAAUUUUAGAUUUUAUAAAUUUGUCAAACAAUCAACUUACAAGGAAGUGAGAUAUUUUUCCUCAGUUUUAUAGGCAACAAUGAUACAAAAAUUGAAAGCUUACAAAUAUAUGUGCAACGUUGUUACAAGGUGUUAGUAAUGGGCGCCCAUGUGGCAUGACCAUUUAAAUUUAAAUUUGAUCCUUAUCCAAAUAGGUUUUGAAUUUGAAUUCAAACCUAUUUAGGAUAACCACUCAAGAUACAGAUGUUAUCAGUUUUAACUGAUAUGGAUAGAUAUUAUAAUAUAUUAUAUAUCUGAUAUAUGGUUAUGGGUAAUCCAAGUGAGAAACAACGUAUAGUCUGUUUCUACCCAUAUACUGACUCUCUCCCAAAAACACAACGAUCAAGUCUUUGCACUGUGAUUUUGUGUGGGUGAUAUUCAAUCUGUGAUAUCACUCCACUGCUGGGUUGAUUUAUCAGUUUUCUGGAAGCACGUGAUUUAUCCAAGAAGGUUCUAUCAUCAAGAAGGUAUGAUCUGAUUAUUUUAUCCGCUGCAUAUUCUGUGUUUUUAGUUUACACAAGGUAAUCUACUUAUAGGUUUCUAUGUAUAACAAAAGUUACGUACUUCAUUUUUUGUCAAUUCCAUCUUAUUUUUUGUAAUUUAAUGUUGUCAUAGAUCUAUGGCAAAAAUUGCAUCAAAACAAUUUGAAGAGAUUAUUGAACGUGAAAUUUGAUAUGGACUAUGUCAAUUUAUGUCAAUAUGAUCUCUGGUCUCAUGUUACCAAAUUUAGAUUUCAUAUGAAGUUUUAUUGUACAGGUUUUUUUAGUUAAGAUUUUUUAAACGAUGUGUA